rnacentral:rRNA from 1 species
AUUUGAUAAUACCUUACUACUUGGAUAUCCGUGGUAAUUCUAGAGCUAAUACAUGCUGAAAACCCCAACUUCGGGAGGGGUGUAUUUAUUAGAUAAAAAACCAAUGCCCUUCGGGGCUCCUUGGUGAUUCAUGAUAACUUUACAGAUCGCAUGGCCUUGCGCCGGCGACGGUUCAUUCAAAUUUCUGCCCUAUCAACUUUCGAUGGUAAGGUAUUGGCUUACCAUGGUUUCAACGGGUAACGGGGAAUUAGGGUUCGAUUCCGGAGAGGGAGCCUGAGAAACGGCUACCACAUCCAAGGAAGGCAGCAGGCGCGCAAAUUACCCAAUCCCGAUACGGGGAGGUAGUGACAAUAAAUACUGAUACAGGGCUCUUUUGGGUCUUGUAAUUGGAAUGAGUACAAUUUAAACCUCUUAACGAGGAACAAUUGGAGGGCAAGUCUGGUGCCAGCAGCCGCGGUAAUUCCAGCUCCAAUAGCGUAUAUUAAAGUUGUUGCAGUUAAAAAGCUCGUAGUUGAAACUUGGGCCUGGCUGGCAGGUCCGCCUCACCGCGUGUACUUGUCCGGCCGGGCCUUCCUUCUGGAGAACCUCAUGCCCUUCACUGGGCGUGUUGGGGACCAGGACUUUUACUUUGAAAAAAUUAGAGUGUUCAAAGCAGGCCUUUGCUCGAAUACGUUAGCAUGGAAUAAUAAAAUAGGACUGUGGUCUUAUUUUGUUGGUUUCUAGGACCGCAGUAAUGAUUAAUAGGGACAGUCGGGGGCAUUAGUAUUCAAUAGUCAGAGGUGAAAUUCUUGGAUUUAUUGAAGACUAACUACUGCGAAAGCAUUUGCCAAGGAUGUUUUCAUUAAUCAGUGAACGAAAGUUAGGGGAUCGAAGACGAUCAGAUACCGUCGUAGUCUUAACCGUAAACUAUGCCGACUAUGAAUCGGGCGAUGUUCUUUUUUGACUCGCU